AUUUGCAUGAUAACUGCCUGGAGAUAUUUAUUUUAAAAAGAUUCCGAUUUCGGAAGCUAAGCAGGGUCGGGCCUGGUUAGUACUUGGAUGAGAGACCACCUAGGAAGACCAGGUGCUGUAGAUG
rnacentral:rRNA from 1 species